rnacentral:rRNA from 1 species
GAUGAACGCUGGCGGCGUGCCUAAUACAUGCAAGUCGAGCGAACAGAUAAGGAGCUUGCUCCUUUGACGUUGGCGGCGGACGGGUGAGUAACACGUGGGUAACCUACCUAUAAGACUGGGAUAACUUCGGGAAACCGGAGCUAAUGCCGGAUAACAUUUGGAACCGCAUGGUUCUAAAGUGAAAGAUGGUUUUGCUAUCACUUAUAGAUGGACCCGCGCCGUAUUAGCUAGUUGGUAAGGUAACGGCUUACCAAGGCAACGAUACGUAGCCGACCUGAGAGGGUGAUCGGCCACACUGGAACUGAGACACGGUCCAGACUCCUACGGGAGGCAGCAGUAGGGAAUCUUCCGCAAUGGGCGAAAGCCUGACGGAGCAACGCCGCGUGAGUGAUGAAGGGUUUCGGCUCGUAAAACUCUGUUAUUAGGGAAGAACAAACGUGUAAGUAACUGUGCACGUCUUGACGGUACCUAAUCAGAAAGCCACGGCUAACUACGUG